AAAUGCGAUACGUAAUGUGAAUUGCAAAUUCAGUGAAUCAUCGAGUCUUUGAACGCACAUUGCGCCCCCUGGUAUUCCGGGGGGCAUGCCUGUCCGAGCGUCAUUUCUGCCCUCAAGCACGGCUUGUGUGUUGGGCCCCGUCCUCCGAUCCCGGUGGACGGGCCCGAAAGGCAGCGGCGGCACCGCGUCCGGUCCUCGAGCGUAUGGGGCUUUGUCACCCGCUCUGUAGGCCCGGCCGGCGCUUGCCGAUCAACCCAAAUUUUUAUCCAGGUUGACCUCGGAUCAGGUAGGGAUACCCGCUGAACUUAAGC
rnacentral:misc_RNA from 1 species